GGAGGAAAGUAGGGGAUCGCAAGACCUUGCGCUUUUGGAGCGGCCGAUGUCUGAUUAGCUAGUUGGUGAGGUAAAGGCUUACCAAGGCUUCGAUCAGUAGCUGGUCUGAGAGGACGACCAGCCACACUGGGACUGAGACACGGCCCAGACUCCUACGGGAGGCAGCAGUGGGGAAUUUUGGACAAUGGGGGAAACCCUGAUCCAGCCAUGCCGCGUGAGUGAAGAAGGCCUUCGGGUUGUAAAGCUCUUUCAGCCGGAACGAAAAGGUUACGGUUAAUACCCGUGACUAAUGACGGUACCGGAAGAAGAAGCACCGGCUAACUACGUGCCAGCAGCCGCGGUAAUACGUAGGGUGCGAGCGUUGAUCGGAAUUACUGGGCGUAAAGCGUGCGCAGGCGGUUUUGUAAGUCAGAUGUGAAAUCCCCGGGCUCAACCUGGGAACUGCGUUUGAAACUACAAAGCUAG
rnacentral:rRNA from 1 species